rnacentral:tRNA from 1 species
AAGACACUAGUAAAAUUAUUACCUUGCCUUGUCGAGGCAAAAUCGUGGGUUAGACCCCCGCGUGUCUUA